UAAUUUAUUGAGCAAUCUGAUAACUAAAUUUGAGUUAUGAAACUAAUGCUUAAGAGUAUUUUCUAUUUCAUUUCUUCCAGAUAUGUUGUUCUGGAGCUAUGUAAGUCCAAGAUCAAGGCAUCAACAAGUUCCAUGGCUGGCGAGGGCUGCCCUCUGCUUCCAAGAUGGUGCAUCAUUGCUGUGUCCUCACAUAGUGGAAGGACCAAAGAGGCAUGAGGAAGAAAUGGUGUUACCAGCAUUCACUGAGGAUUAGAAUUGCAAAAAUGUUGCUUUCUAGUGGGAAAAAGGAAAAAAAGUUAUUACCAAGGA